AGCUGCUAGAACAAUUCUUGACCACCAGGCAUUUUCAAUUGAAAUCUCUGUAAGCUACACUCUCAUCUUGAUUUAGUUACUCUGAUUCUAAUUGAUUACUGGGCCUGGGUCAUAGGAGCUUUUUCCAGAUCUUUUAUUCAAACCCACUUGGGCUACACUACUGAAUGCUAGGCCCAUAAGUGAAACUUCUACUACCACCUCGGCCCCAUUGUUUUUCAUCCUUGUCAAUGUUAUUCGAUGCUUCUUCUAAACAGCAAAGCAUCGUCACCGCUUCUCCACCGGAAUUUCAGAAAUGAAUUAGGCUCAACAUUAGCAAGCUGUAUGAAGGCGGAUUAUUUUAUGACCGGACAUGGUUAAUAGAUUCGGAGGAGUGGGAUGGGCUUCUGGGGUAGAUUAAUGUGCAAGGAGUCGAAGUCCAUGUUGCGGGGACAUUGCAAGAAGGAGAACCGGUUCCUGGACUUAUUUAGGUGAUAGGCUGAAGAACCAUUGAGUGUGCAAUCUUUGUUUCAUUAUAUUUGAAGGUCAUGAUGAAGAGCUAGAGAUGGAGCAUGGACCUCCAUAUUUGCUGGUAUAAUUAGAUUCCCAUUCUUGUUCCUUGUUUGACUUCACGUAGAACACUGACAAUUGGGGGGUUUAGCCUUAGAGAUUCGUUGAUAACCAUGCUCAUCUACAAGGGAAGGAAAAAAAACAAAAAAAAAUAGUUGAGUACAUUGAACAUACAAGUUAAAUAGUUGUUUCCAUCAGAAUCUGUAGUGGUUUUCAGCUUUUCGCUUACAGUCUUCAAUCUUGAGAUGCCUCGUGGACUUGGAUUCUGUUGGCCAAACAAUUCAAGGACCUCGUUCCAUACUUUUUUCCUGCCAGUGUGCUUGCAUUGCUAACAUGAAAACAGUCCAGGCAGUCUGCUUGCAUCGCAGUUCUGACAAGCCGAGCUGAUUAACAAUAGAUGACUUGAUUGAUGAGUGCAAGAGUUUAUACAUUGCAGGACACGAGACAAGAAGUGCACUUGCCCCUCACUUGUUGUCCAUGAAAGUCACUUUAUAACCAUCCAUUCCACCUGUCAUUUCCUCCUCCUCUCUUUUCUUUAUCAUCUUUAUAAUGCUUUUUAUUAUGCUUUGGUCAAGUUUCUCUGCUUCAAUAUCAUCGUGUCUUAAAGUAUUUUCUGCAUACAACAAUAAAAAGUAAACGUGUGAAAGAUGCAGCCCAAUUUGUCAAUAGAAUAAUUGGAGAGACAAUAAGCUUCACCUGAUUCCAGGAAUUCUUAUUUCAUAAAGGUUUCUGCAUCCAAAAGCUGUCCUGGAAAUUAUUUCCGAUGUCAAAACUUUAAAGUCCUGGAAUACCGCAAUCUCCCUAUCGUCAUGAUUUUUCCGUCUUUCAAGCUUCACCUCCACACUCGAAAUCAAUUUUGGAAUCGUUUCCUAUAAAGAACAAAAAUAUUGUCAGUUAUUAGAAGAAGCUCUUCGACAUACCUAAAUUUCACCUCUAGUUGUUAAAAUAAACUAUUAAACUGUUGAAUAAUUAACACCUUUGCAUGAGUAUAUAAAUGUUAACAUAAAACUAGGUAAAUAUGUUCGAUGGACACUUGAGAAGCAACUAUCCACAGUAACAAAUUCAAGAAACUACUUUCAAGCUCUCUCCAUGGAAAACCUGAUUGACCAAUUGGCGCAGCUUAAACCGUUUUUCACCUCUAGUUGUCACAAGUCCAUCCCCAAACAGCUUCGCUAUACAAGGUCUGGGCUCAGCUUUGAGAAUUUAUGCAGAUUGGAGUCCACCAUACUUGGUUCAUGAACUUGAUGAGAAGCGAAGGAAUGUAGAGGCAUACACAGCUUGCAAGGAAGAUAAUCGUUGUUCGCAUGGCCACCACUGCCAUGAUUUAUCGAGUAUGUACAGGUUUAGGUCUUUCAGAAUUUUUUAUAUCAGUGAGUUACAGAAUAGUGUUUGAAGCUUCGGAAUUUUGUCAAAUCAGACAAACUGGCCUUCUAAUAAAAUAAUCAUCAUGGACAUGUCAUUAACAUAAAAACAAAUCACACAAGUUUGAUAUAAGAUUGAUUGUUUGCCUGGAA